rnacentral:rRNA from 1 species
GUCUACAGCCAUGCCACCCUGAACAUGCCCAAUCUCUUCUGAUCUCGGAAGCUAAGCAGGGUCAGGCCUGGUUUGUACUUGGAUGGGAGACCACCUAGGAAGACCAGGUGCUAUAGGCA